GACGAACGCUGGCGGCGUGCUUAACACAUGCAAGUCGAACGAUGAAAGAGGAGCUUGCUCCUCUGGAUUAGUGGCGAACGGGUGAGUAACACGUGAGCAAUCUGCCCCUGACUCCGGAAUAACUACGGGAAACUGUAGCUAAUACCGGAUAUGCGCCGAACAGGCAUCUGUAUCGGUGGGAAAGAAUUUCGGUCAGGGAUGAGCUCGCGGCCUAUCAGCUUGUUGGUGAGGUAACGGCUCACCAAGGCGAUGAUCUUUAGGGGGCCUGAGAGGGUGAUCCCCCACACUGGUACUGAGACACGGACCAGACUCCUACGGGAGGCAGCAGUGAGGAAUAUUGGUCAAUGGGUGCAAGCCUGAACCAGCCAUCCCGCGUGAAGGACGACUGCCCUAUGGGUUGUAAACUUCUUUUGUAUAGGGAUAAACCUACCCUCGUGAGGGUAGCUGAAGGUACUAUACGAAUAAGCACCGGCUAACUCCGUG
rnacentral:rRNA from 1 species